GAUGAACGCUGGCGGCGUGCCUAAUACAUGCAAGUCGAGCGAACGGACGAGAAGCUUACUUCUCUGAUGUUAGCGGCGGACGGGUGAGUAACACGUGGAUAACCUACCUAUAAGACUGGGAUAACUUCGGGAAACCGGAGCUAAUACCGGAUAAUAUUUUGAACCGCAUGGUUCAAAAGUGAAAGACGGUCUUGCUGUCACUUAUAGAUGGAUCCGCGCUGCAUUAGCUAGUUGGUAAGGUAACGGCUUACCAAGGCAACGAUGCAUAGCCGACCUGAGAGGGUGAUCGGCCACACUGGAACUGAGACACGGUCCAGACUCCUACGGGAGGCAGCAGUAGGGAAUCUUCCGCAAUGGGCGAAAGCCUGACGGAGCAACGCCGCGUGAGUGAUGAAGGUCUUCGGAUCGUAAAACUCUGUUAUUAGGGAAGAACAUAUGUGUAAGUAACUGUGCACAUCUUGACGGUACCUAAUCAGAAAGCCACGGCUAACUACGUG
rnacentral:rRNA from 1 species